GCGGAACCUGAUGCAGCAACGCCGCGUGAGGGAUGACGGCCUUCGGGUUGUAAACCUCUUUUAGCAGGGAAGAAGCGAGAGUGACGGUACCUGCAGAAAAAGCACCGGCUAACUACGUGCCAGCAGCCGCGGUAAUACGUAGGGUGCAAGCGUUAUCCGGAAUUAUUGGGCGUAAAGAGCUCGUAGGCGGUUUGUCGCGUCUGCCGUGAAAUCCUCAGGCUCAACCUGAGGCUUGCGGUGGGUACGGGCAGACUUGAGUGCGGUAGGGGAGAUUGGAAUUCCUGGUGUAGCGGUGGAAUGCGCAGAUAUCAGGAGGAACACCGAUGGCGAAGGCAGAUCUCUGGGCCGUAACUGACGCUGAGGAGCGAAAGGGUGGGGAGCAAACA
rnacentral:rRNA from 1 species